rnacentral:rRNA from 1 species
GAUGAACGCUAGCGGCAGGCUUAAUACAUGCAAGUCGAGGGACAGCACAGGUAGCAAUACUGGGUGGUAACCGGCAAACGGGUGCGGAACACGUACACAACCUUCCUUUCAGUGGGGGAUAGCCCAGAGAAAUUUGGAUUAAUACCCCGUAAUAUAGUUGAAUGGCAUCAUUUGAUUAUUAUAGCUACGGCGCUUAAUGAUGGGUGUGCUGCUGAUUAGAUAGUUGGCGGGGUAACGGCCCACCAAGUCUACGAUCAGUAGCUGAUGUGAGAGCAUGAUCAGCCACACGAGCACUGAGACACGGGACCGACUCCUACGGGAGGCAGCAGUAAGGAAUAUUGGUCAAUGGACGCAAGUCUGAACCAGCCAUGCCGCGUGAAGGAUUAAGGUCCUCUGGAUUGUAAACUUCUUUUAUUUGGGUCGAAAAAGGGUCUUUCUAGAUCAACUGACGGUACCAGAUGAAUAAGCACCGGCUAACUCCGUGCCAGCCGCCGCGGUAAAAC